GUAGUCCUUUAGAGCCUCUGGACAGAAGGAGCAGAACAGGCUUUGCUUCAUUCCUGAGGUCUACCAGAGCCUCUCACUUAAUGGAAAGAAGAAGCUAAUCUGGAGGAAGAGAACACUGACAAACACCAUUGCAGAGGGAGCCCAUGACAGUACUUCUGCCCCUCCCACCGUCUGAUGAAUACAUGUAAAGCUUAUUGAGCCUCAGAACUCUAACUACAGGGUUUCAAUAGCACAGAAACUCUGAGAAGAAAAAGAAUGUCAAAGUUCCUCCCUAAGGAGACUGAUUAGAUGCAAGUGUGUCCGGAAUUGGUGGGUUCUUGGUCUGACUUCAAGAAUGAAGCCGCGGACCCUCACGGUGCUGCUGUUUUACUAAGAGGUAUAUGAAUAAUGGAAAUGCCUCCUGUAAUCCUAGCACUUUGGGAGGCCGAGGCGGGCGGAUCACCUGAGGUUGGGAGUUCGAGACCAGCCUGACCAACAUGGGGAAACCCCCUCUCUACUAAAAAUACAAAAUUAGCUGGGCGUGGUGGUCCAUGCCUGUAAUCCCAGCUACUUGGGAGGCUGAGGCAGGAGAAUCGCUUGAACCCAGGAGGCGGAGGUUGAGGUGAGCCGAGAUCAUGCCAUUGCACUGUAGCCUGAGCAACAAGAGUGAAAGUCUGUCUAAAAAAACCAAAAAAUUUAAAAAAUAAUAAUAACGGAAAAUGCCUUUCUGCUUGUGGAUGCCGCCGAAGAAGCAUCAUCAAAGUCUCUCUUCUCCCUUCCCUCAUGUCUAAGUCAGAGUCUCCUAAAGAGCCUGAACAGCUGAGGAAACUGUUCAUUGGAGGGUUGAGCUUUGAAACAACCGAUGAGAGGCUGAGGAAGGAGCCAUUUUGAGCAAUGGGAACACUCAUGGAUUGUGUGGUAAUGAGAGACCCAAACACCAAGUGCUCCAGGGGCUUUGGGUUUGUCACAUAUGCCACUGUGGAGGAGGUGGAUGCAGCCAUGAAUGCAAGGCCACACACGGUGGAUGGAAGAGUCGUGGAACCAAAGAGAGCUGUCUCAAGAGAAGAUUCUCAAAGACCCACUUAACUGUGAAAAAGUUAUUUGUUGGUGGCAUUAAAGAAGACACUGAAGAACAUCACCUAAGAGAUUAUUUUGACCAGUAUGGAAAAAUUGAAGUGAUUGACUGAGGCAUUGGCAAGAAAAGGGGCUUUGCCUUUGUAACCUUUGACAACCAUGACUCUGUGGAUAAGAUUGUCAUUCAGAAAUACCACACUGUGAAUGGCCACAACUGUGAAGUUAGGAAAGCCCUGUGAAAGCAAGAGAUGGCUAGUGCUUCAGCCAGCCAAAGAGGUCAAAGUGGUUCUGGAAACUUUGAUGGUGGUAUGGAGGUGGUUUCGGUGGGAAUGACAACUUUGGUCAUGGAGGAAACUUCAGUGGUUGUGGUGGCUUUGGUGGCAACCAUGGUGCUGGUGGAUAUGGUGGCAGUGGGGAUGGCUAUAACGGAUUUGGUAAUAAUGAAAGCAAUUUUGGAGGUGGUGGAAGCUACAGUGAUUUUGGCAAUUACAACAAUCAGUCUUCAAAUUUCAGACCCAUGAAGGGAGGAAACUUUGGAGGCAGAAGCCCUGGCCCCUAUGGUGGUGGAGGCCAAUAUUUUGCCAAACCUCGAAACUAAAGUGGCUAUGGUGGUUCUAGUAGUAGCAGUAGCUAUGGCAGUGGCAGAAGAUUUUAAUUAGGAAACAAAGCUUAUCAGGAGAAGAGAGCAAGAGAAGUGACAGGGAAGCUACAGGUUACAAUAGAUUUGUGAACUCAGCCAAGCACAGUGGUGGCAGGGCCUAGCUGCUACAAAGAAGACAUGUUUUAGACAAAUACUCAUGUUUAUGGGCAAAAAACUCGAGGACUGUAUUUGUGACUAAUUGUAUAACAGGUUAUUUUAGUUUCUGUUCUGCGGAAAGUGUAAAGCAUUCCAACAAAGGGUUAUAGUGUAGAUUUUUAACUUUUUUUGCACCUAUGCUGUUGAAUUCUAAAUGUAAUAGUCUGAUUGUGACGCUGAAUAAAUAUCUUAAAAAAAGACUGGAAAUAACUA
rnacentral:lncRNA from 1 species